AAAUAAUAAAACAAAUAAAUAAAGAUAUUUCUUUAUACUUUUUUAGAAUAAAGCAUUUCAAUUUUUGUGUGUUCGGGAAAACAGAACUGUCACGGCCAAGCUAAAUAUAUAAAUACAUUUAAUCUUAAAUAAAGCUGCAUUUCCAUGCCAUGUGUUCACGAAAACAUUGUCAUUGGCUAAAAAUAUAAUAAAUAAUAUAUUAUAAGAAACAAAAAAGAUUAAUUACUUGCAUAAUAGUUAUAGUUAAAAUGUUUUUCAAGUUAAAGACAUAAACAGCCAAAAUCAAACACUAUCAAGCAUUGGUAAAACCACUGAAUAGCUAUAAACCGCAUAACUACAGGCUGUAAAAAGGUCUGGGUGGUAGAUAGAUGUUUUUGUUUACUGUAGCCGGUAAACAAAGCUCUAAUUCAAGCAAAAUGAUUCCAGCAUGUGCGACAGAAUUUGUGGGAUUUAAUGAUGUGUAUCAAUGCCUUUAAGACAUAACCGGCUUGUAUAGUGAGUGGAACUGUGUUGCAUGGAGUGCAAAUGUUUGAAACUGUCCACAGAUGUCUUAUAAGACUUCUGGUAAGAAAUGCAAACCGUGUGUGUGUGUGUGUGAGAGAGAGAGUGAGUGUGUUUUUGAAGAGCUAGCUUUAAUUUAAUGUCACCAUGGCCCACUAGAAGAAAAGGAGUUUAACCUUAGAUCGUAAAAAAGGAGUUGUUUGACUUCACAGUGUCAGGCUUUGAAUUGCCUGCAUUCUGAGUGAAUGGAAAAGUCAUGUCAGGAAGGUUGUUUUGAGGGCAGCAGAUCUGAAAAGUCUGUAAACAAUGACUCAUCGGCAUGUGCCUGAGUGCAAAGGAAGGCAGAUCUCCUGUCCAUGUCGCUCACAGGAAGAGAACACAAUCAGGCCUCUGUUUUAGACUCAUAAAUUAGAUAUUCAUGCUUCAUAAGAAGCCGCCCAUAGGCCAACCACACUGUGUAAUACACAGAAGGGGUCUUUCUAUCUGCUCAAUAUGGAUUAAUCUAACAGUCUAUCACACAUCAGAAAUAAACUCGACAACAAGCCAGUCAAUGCAUGUUUCUAGAGCACUGGCUUUCAUCUUUGCUGCUAUAGAGUGAGUCACCUCACAAUAAUCAUGUCUUUAACGUCACUUGUUCUUAAGUGAAGCAUUAUUAUACAGUCUUGAAGUCCUUUCUCUGUCAAACCACCAUCUGAGAACAAUAGCAUCACCCAGUUCUUCAGGACACAUGCUACAUUUAACGUCUUUCUAUUUCUGUAUGAUCAGGGAUCAGAAGUACACCCUGUAAAGGACACUGUUGACUUCACCCUAAGAAAACAGAAUUUGGAGAAAUCUUCAGAGGGCCUUACUAGACCAACUGUGAUUCACUCUUUGCAGUCACAUGUGCAAAUUGAACUUGUUCUAGCACUUCCAGUAUUUUUCCUAUUUGUGAUCAGUAUGUUUGGAGUAACCUAGAAUAACUGCCAAGAAAAACAUGAUUAUGAGCCACAUGAGUGAUUGAGCAUCUGUUUUUGUAGAGAAAUGAUUGUAGUUUAAUGUGUGUACUACCUUGGUUAAAAAGCAACAUUGCUGAAAUUCAUUGUUACUAAUAAUAAGAUGUCUUUAGAACCAACAUUUGAAAUGGAUGCUUCUAGGUCUUGCCGUUUUUGUGGUUUGCUGCACAGAGGUUGUAUUUUGUGGUUGCUUGGGACAACUGAAGCCUUCUCUACUACUGCCCAUGUGCUCCUAAACUGGAGGAAGUACUGCUAGCCUAAAGGGGAAGAGAGAACCACAGGCAACAGGAAAGAAAACCAGCACCGAUCCUCUUUCUGUGCAUCUCUGACAUAAUGUCAGCAAUGGCUGGAAUUUAGUCAUUACAUUCUUUUCUUUUUUACAACCACAUACACUACAGCUAUUGUUCGUAUUUUUAAAUAAUAGUGAAGUGAAUUGUAGAUUAGAAAUUAUGAAGUAACCAAAAAUAUUUGCCAAAUCAAAACUCUUAUUUUAGUUUCUUAAAAGUGGUCCUCCUAAAAGUCAUCCCUGAAAGUCAUUUUCUUUCCCAAUUUGACCCAACUUGUCCAUAAACAAAAUAAAUAAACAGAGU
ensembl:lncRNA